rnacentral:rRNA from 1 species
GUGCCAGCCGCCGCGGUAAUACCGGCAGCCCGAGUGAUGGCCGAUCUUAUUGGGCCUAAAGCGUCCGUAGCUGGCUGCGCAAGUCCGUCGGGAAAUCCACCCGCUUAACGGGUGGGCGUCCAGCGGAAACUGUCCGGCUUGGAGCCGGAAGACCUGAGGGGUACGUCCGGGGUAGGAGUGAAAUCCCGUAAUCCUGGACGGACCGCCGGUGGCGAAAGCGCCUCGGGAAGACGGACCCGACAGUGAGGGACGAAAGCUGGGAUCUCGAACCGGAUUAGAUACCCUUGUAGUCC